rnacentral:rRNA from 1 species
CAAUAGCGUAUAUUAAAGUUGUUGCGGUAAAAAAGCUCGUAGUUGGAUUUCUACCGAAGAUAGCCGGUCGGGUCUUCGACCUUGUAUCUGGUUUUGUCUUUGGUAUCCUCAUAGGGAACGUUUCUGCGCUUUAUUGCGUGGUGCGGUAUCUAUGACUUUUACUUUGAGGAAAUUAGAGUGUUCACGGCAGGCAAACGCCUUGAAUAUAUUAGCAUGGAAUAAUAACAUAGGAUCUUCGUCCUAUUUUGUUGGUUUCUAGGGCUAAGAUAAUGAUUAAUAGGGAUAAUUGGGGGCAUCUGUAUCAACGCGUCAGAGGUGGAAUUCUUGGAUUGCGUUGCGACAAACUACUGCGAAAGCAUUUACCAAGGAUGUUUUCAUUAA